rnacentral:rRNA from 1 species
UACGGAGGGUGCAAGCGUUAAUCGGAAUCACUGGGCGUAAAGCGCGCGUAGGCGGCUUUGUAAGUCAGGGGUGAAAUCCCACGGCUCAACCGUGGAACUGCCCUUGAUACUGCAAGGCUACGAGUUUGUGAGAGGAUAGUGGAAUUCCAGGUGUAGGAGUGAAAUCCGUAGAGAUCUGGAGGAACAUCAGUGGCGAAGGCGACUAUCUGGCACAACACUGACGCUGAGGUGCGAAAGCGUGGGUAUCAAACAGG